ACCCGGGAAUUACGAGCCCAAGCUUAAAACCCAAAGGACUAGACGGUGUCCCAUCCCCCUAGAGGAGCCUGUUCUAUAAUCGAUUCCCCCCGAUCCACCCCACCGCUUCUUGACCACCCAGUCUGUAUACCUCCGUCGCAAGCUUACCGUGUGAACGCACCUAGUAAGCUAAAAGAUUCAUCACCCACACGUCAGGUCAAGGUGCAGCCUACGAAGCGGAAAGAAAUGGGCUACAAUCUCUACUUUAGAACAAACGAAAAACUGUAUGAAACACAGUUACUGAAGGCGGAUUUAGUAGUAAAAAGAAAGCAGAGCGUUCUUUUUAACCAGGCACUGGGACGCGUACACACCGCCCGUCACCCUCUUCAGACAAUAAAAAAAAGUUACUAACACUACUUAAUCACACAGAAGAGGCAAGUCGUAACACGGUAAGUGUACUGGAAAGUGCACUUGGAACAAAAUGUAGCUUAACCAAAGCCUUUC
rnacentral:rRNA from 1 species